UCAAGUAUUGUUUCAUUCCCUCAAUUCCAAGAUCCCCCUCCAUCUCUGUCUCCGGCGACAUUCAACCCUGCACAAAUGUGGCCUACAGUUAAUAGCUCAUUCGAUACUAAUACUGUUGCUCAGCCACAACUGAUUCCUUACCCAAUCAACCUUGCACACCAAGGAGAAUCUAGUACUUCUCAAUACAAUACACAAGGUGCCAUGGAUCACAGCCAAAAUGUACCAAUCUUUAGGGGAGGAAUAUAAAGUGAUGGCCAGUUGCACAAUACUACCUCAAUCAGGCCAAUAACGCCCAUUCGAUGCUGAGUUUUCUUGUUGAAGCAUCACAAGAUAGCUCUACAUACAUAUACUUAUAUGCUCUGAGUGUUAUAUAUGCUAUGGUUUAAUGUGUUGUGAGAAGUAAGAGAUCGUAGACUAAAACUGUAGGUCUUUGUUGCCUGCUGGUGUGUUUGUGCCUCCGGAGUGAAUUAGUUCAAAUCUGAAUUAGUUCAUGUAUAAUAAGCUUUGGAUCUAAUAAUAAUAUUUCUUUUAAUU